AUUCCUACGGGAGGCAGCAGUGGGGAAUUUUGGACAAUGGGCGCAAGCCUGAUCCAGCAAUGCCGCGUGCAGGAAGAAGGCCUUCGGGUUGUAAACUGCUUUUGUACCGAGCGAAAAGGCUCUCUCUAAUACAGGGGGUUCAUGACGGUACCGUAAGAAUAAGCACCGGCUAACUACGUGCCAGCAGCCGCGGUAAU
rnacentral:rRNA from 1 species